GGCUCAAUGGUCUAGUGGUAUGAUUCGCGCUUCGGGUUGAUAACCCACCGCCUGACAACAGGCAGAAGAUGUGCGAGGUCUCGGGUUCGAUCCCCGAUUGAGCCC